rnacentral:lncRNA from 1 species
AGUCACUGGCUUUCUUGCGGGUCAGUCACUGAGCCAAUUUCCAAGUCCGUCACACCGGCUUUUUUCAAAUGAACGCGCAAAAGGCGGGGAAGUAUCUGGAAAGCGAUUGGUUCGUCCUAGAAAACGGUCAAACCCGGAGAGUCUGUACGGAUCCUUUCCGUUCUGUGAGGACCGUGCCCCCUUGUAUUUGACCUCUAAGCCUCGCGUAAAAGAAGCGCCAUAAGGGACCAACGAGCAGUCCAGCUAUAGGUGUGGACGCCUGGUCCCACCCGGAAUUGCAGGGGCUUGGCUACUGAUUGGCUAAGAAAGUCCUCCUAGGCCCUCAUUGGAGGAUCUAAACGCCUCUCUUCGGCGUGGAGACGGGAAGGGACGACUCAGACGAGGACAAGAAGUGGGCAGGGGAGAGGCGGUUGUUUUGCUUCAGCCGCGGGUGGGGCGCAGGCGAGAGUGGGAAACUGGGAAGGCCGGGCUCUGGGGAGGUGUUGCGGGGAGGGGAAAGGCCCGGAUGUUCCCUAACAAUGAAAUCAUCGCCGACCUAUCAGAGCCGCCGAGCUGGGAUACCUGCCUGACCUGUACCCCGGAGGGAGAAGAGUGGGCGGGAAAUUGGGGUGUCGGAAGAACCUGGAAAGCAACGUGAGAAAGUGGGACAGGUGUUCCCUUCAGGAGGAUUUUGUGCUAUUAGAGAUUAUUUUUAUACCAGCCCUUGACAUUUCCGUAUUUUGUUUCUCAGUCGGCAUUGAUAUUAAAACUCCCAGCCUAGUCUCUUGACAUGGACUUGUUCAUUUCGCAGUUAUUGAGCGCCUACUGUUUGCCAGAUCUUAUUAACUGUGUGUUUUCCUCUUCGAGAACUUGUAUCGUCAAUAACGUCAUCGUGAACCAGACUAGCAGUGUGGAUCAUUUCUGCAAUUAAGGCUAUGGCGCGGUGGCUGGCUUGCACAUGUCAAAUUAACAGACAGCAAUGCUUUUUAACAGACGCCGCCUAGAACCUUCUCAGCAAUCAGCUUGUGAAAAUUGGACAUCGGAUCGGGAGUUGUUAUGAUGGAUAUUACAUGCUCGGGCCAUUAGCACCCCAAUAAUUGGUCGAAAGGCUUUUCCUUUUCCAUCAAAGUAGUACUCAGACAUUUCCUGAAGUUCUGUUGUUGAUAUGAGCAGUUCCUUUCUAAUGUCCUCAUACAGACCUUUCAAGUCUCUGCAACCGAAUUUGAAAGGAUCGGUGAUCUGUAUAUUUCUCACCACUGUGUGUUUUACUGUCCGGGGUUGUGUGAUAAAACCGUGAUAUACUGUAUACAUUUGGACAGGCAGAUGUUAAGCGCUUCACAAGACUAAAAUAGGGUAUCUGAGACAAGCCGAAUCCCUUCCGCCUAUGAGCCUGAGCGCGGGCGCCGGCAGCGGCGCGCGGCCCUGGAGGCCCUGCAAGGCCGGGGGAGCCGGGCACACCGCCACCAGCGUGAGGCCAUGGUCGGAGACUGAAAGUCGCGGCAGGGUGGCGGCUCCGCCUCUGCAAUUCAGAUUUUUAAAACCUACUCAUCAAGUUUGUGUGAGAAUGGUGUUUCUUACAGCAUGGUGAAUAGACCACCAGCAUCCGAAUCAUCUGGGAUUCUGGGAUAGAGAUUCCCAGGUCCACUCAUGCCUACAAAUCAGGGACUCUGGGGACAAGGCUCAGAAAGGUGAAUUUUAAAAUAGCUCCCCAGAUGAUUUUUUUUUUUUUUUUUUUGAGACGGAGUCUCACUCUGACGCCCAGGCUGGAGUGCAGUAGUGCAAUCUCGGUUCAGUGCAACCUCCGCCUCCCAGGUUCAAGUGAUUCUCCUGCCUCAGCCUCCCGAGUAGCUGGGAUUGCAGGCACCCACCACCACGCCUGGCUAAUUUUUGUAUUUUUAGUAGAGACGGGGUUUCACCAUGUUGGUCAGGCUGGUCACAAACUCCUGACCUCAAGUGAUCCUCCCGCCUCAGCCUCCCAAAGUGCUGGGAUUACAGGCGUGAGCCACCGCACCUGACCUGCAGAUGAUUUUUAUGCGCAUCAAUGUUUGAGACCCUCUGGCACAGGAUAAUGGAGGCAGAUGUAAAGUAAAUUAAUUUCCUCACUUUUGCAUGUUGGGAGAACAUAUGUAUAUCUCACAUUUCCACUGUCCCCUUUAUUAUCAGCGUGAGAUCAUACAGUCCGCAGGAAGUAUUAUUGAAGUGACUUAUAAAAAAAUUAAAUUUUCUUUAAUCACACUCCAUUGCCUGACACCCCUUAUGUAAGCAGAAGGGAGUCUGAGACCUCAGCUUCUAAAAUGGGAACCAUGCUAAGGAUAAAAAACUGAAGACAUUUAGGGACCCUUGUCCUGUGAAUACAAGCAACUACAGAAAGGCAUGAGAACAGUUUCUUGGCUUGCUUGACUUCCUUCUCACCUUCCCUUGGUUGACCCAAAAACAAAUACAAAGCUCAGUCAUUUAGGUGGGCUGAUAAUUCCAUAUCAUUCAUACUUUCAAUCACCAAGAGCAAAAAAAAAAAAAGUAUGGAGACACCCCAGAACAGAUUUGAAGGUUAACUUUGUUGUAUGCUUUAUUUGCUUAAAAUACUAAACCAUUAAAGAAAGCCCAACAAGAGUCACAACUUUGAAAACUGCUGUUUACCAUCAUAAACAUAAUGUGUCAUAAACCCUGAGUACCAUCAUAAUGUGCUCUGCUACGAACUAGCUGUGUGACUUGAGCUAGUAACUAAGCUAUCUGAGCCUUGGUUUGUUCUGCAAAAUGGGAAUCGUAACAUCUUUCUCCAGAGCCACAUGAAGAGUUUUAGAGUCUCUUAGUAAUGCAAAUCAUUCCCCAAUAUAUAGUUUUAAAUAAAAACAAUAUUAAAUGUAAUGUAGAAAAAGUUGGGUGAGGAAAUCACAUGAUCACCCCUAGCUGCAAGGGAGCCCAAACAAUCAGGGAACUGCGAGGUCACAAGUUGCUUAGAGCAGAGAUUCCCAGUCUUUACCAAGCAUCACAAUCUCUUUAGAUGUCAUUUAUACUCACCACUCUUUUGAAAUUAUUAUAAUUAUUAUACUCAUCACUAGAUCUUGUUAUUUCAUGCAUUAAUAAAGAAGCAUAGGCUGGGCGUGGUGGCUCAUGCCUGUAAUCCCAGCACUUUGGGAGGCUGAGGCGGGUGGAUCACGAGGUCAGGAGUUUGAGACCAGCCUGGCCAACCUAGUGAAACCCCGUCUCUACUAAAUACAAAAAUUAGCCAGGUGUGGAGGCACGUGCCUGUAGUCCCAGCUACUCGGGAGGCUGAGGCGGGAGAAUCACCUGAACC